rnacentral:rRNA from 1 species
UUAAACUGGGAUUAGAUACCCCACUAUGCCCAGUCGUAAAGUUAAGUGAAACAUUACUUUUAUCACUCGCCAGGGGACUACGAGCCAGGGCUUACUUCAAAAGUAAGAUUUAAUGCUUAAAACCCAAAGGACUUGGCGGUGCUUUACACCCCCCUAGAGGAGCCUGUUAUAGAAUCGAUACCCCCCGCUAAACCUUACCCUUUCUUGCAAAUUCAGCCUGUAUACCGCCGUCGUCAGUUUACCCUGUGAAGGACCAAUAGUAGACAAAAUUGUACUUAGCCAAAAUGACAGGUCAAGGUGCAGCGAAUGAAAGGGAAUUAAAUGGGCUACAUUUACUGGACCAGUAAAUUACGGAUGUUUGUUAUGAAAACACAACUGAAGGUGGAUUUAGUAGUAAGAAAUGAGAAGAGUGCUUUUCUGAAUAUUUAAGGCUAUGAAGCGCGCACACACCGCC